GCAGGUGUAGUCUAGUCUGGUAAGGACGUUGGCCUUCCAAGCCAACAACUCGGGUUCGAAUCCCGGCACCUGCA
rnacentral:tRNA from 1 species